rnacentral:misc_RNA from 1 species
GAUGAAGAACGCAGCGAAAUGCGAUAAGUAAUGUGAAUUGCAGAAUUCAGUGAAUCAUCGAAUCUCUGAACGCACAUUGCGCCCGCCAGUAUUCUGGCGGGCAUGCCUGUUCGAGCGUCAUUACAACCCUCAGGCCCCCGGGCCUGGCGUUGGGGAUCGGCGGAGCCCCCCGUGGGCACACGCCGUCCCCCAAAUGCAGUGGCGGUCCCGCCGCAGCUUCCAUCGCGUAGUAGCUAACACCUCGCGACUGGAGAGCGGCGCGGCCACGCCGUAAAACACCCAACUCUUCUGAAGUUGACCUCGAAUCAGGUAGGAAUACCCGCUGAACUUAAGCAUAUCAAUAAGCGGAGGA